AUUGAACGCUGGCGGCAUGCCUUACACAUGCAAGUCGAACGGCAGCACGGGAGCAAUCCUGGUGGCGAGUGGCGAACGGGUGAGUAAAGCAUCGGAACGUGCCCAGUCGUGGGGGAUAACGUAGCGAAAGCUACGCUAAUACCGCAUACGAUCUGUGGAUGAAAGCGGGGGACCGUAAGGCCUCGCGCGAUUGGAGCGGCCGAUGUCAGAUUAGGGAGUUGGUGAGGUAAAGGCUCACCAAGCCGACGACCUGUAGCUGGUCUGAGAGGACGACCAGCCACACUGGGACUGAGACACGACCCAGACUCCUACGGGAGGCAGCAGUGGGGAAUUUUGGACAAUGGGCGCAAGCCUGAUCCAGCAAUGCCGCGUGCAGGAUGAAGGCCUUCGGGUUGUAAACUGCUUUUGUACGGAGCGAAAAGGCUUCCACUAAUACUGGGGGCUCAUGACGGUACCGUAAGAAUAAGCACCGGCUAACUACGUGCCAGCCGCCGCCGUAAGAC
rnacentral:rRNA from 1 species